rnacentral:rRNA from 1 species
AGCAGCCGCGGUAAUUCCAGCUCCAAUAGCGUAUAUUAAAGUUGUUGCAGUUAAAAAGCUCGUAGUUGAAUUUCGGGGCCAGUAGGUUGGUCGUGCCACUGGUAUGCACUGGUCUCACUGGUCCCUCCUUCUUGUAGAACCGUGAUGGCAUUAAUUUGUUGUUGCGGGGAAACAGGACUGUUACUUUGAAAAAAUUAGAGUGCUUAAAGCAGGCUCGCGCUUGAAUACAUUAGCAUGGAAUAACGGAAUAGGACGAUCGAACCUAUUUUGUUGGUUUCUAGGAUCGACGUAAUGAUUAAUAGGGAUAGUUGGGGGCAUUAGUAUUCAAUUGUCAGAGGUGAAAUUCUUGGAUUUAUUGAAGACUAACUACUGCGAAAGCAUUUGCCAAGGAUGUUUUCAUUAAUCAAGAACGAAAGUUAGGGGAUCGAAGACGAUCAGAUACCGUCGUAGUCUUAACCAUAAACUAUGCCGACUAGGGAUCGGAUGAAGUUAAUUUUUUAAUGACUCAUUCGGCGCCUUA